rnacentral:rRNA from 1 species
GACGAACGCUGGCGGCGUGCCUAAUACAUGCAAGUUGAGCGCUGAAGGUUGGUCCUUGUACCAACUGGAUGAGCAGCGAACGGGUGAGUAACGCGUGGGGAAUCUGCCUUUGAGCGGGGGACAACAUUUGGAAACGAAUGCUAAUACCGCAUAACAACUUUAAACACAAGUUUUAAGUUUGAAAGAUGCAAUUGCAUCACUCAAAGAUGAUCCCGCGUUGUAUUAGCUAGUUGGUGAGGUAAAGGCUCACCAAGGCGAUGAUACAUAGCCGACCUGAGAGGGUGAUCGGCCACAGUGGGACUGAGACACGGCCCAAACUCCUACGGGAGGCAGCAGUAGGGAAUCUUCGGCAAUGGACGAAAGUCUGACCGAGCAACGCCGCGGGAGUGAAGAAGGUUUUCGGAUCGUAAAACUCUGUUGGUAGAGAAGAACGUUGGUGAGAGUGGAAAGCUCAUCAAGUGACGGUAACUACCCAGAAAGGGACGGCUAACUACGUG